rnacentral:rRNA from 1 species
UCGAUGAAGAACGCAGCGAAAUGCGAUAAGUAAUGUGAAUUGCAGAAUUCAGUGAAUCAUCGAAUCUUUGAACGCAUCUUGCGCUCCUUGGUAUUCCGAGGAGCAUGCCUGUUUGAGUGUCAUUAAAUAUCUCAAAACUCUUGUGCUUUGUUGGCAUAGGACUUUUGGACAUUGGGAGUUGCCGGCUGCUGGUAAAGUAGUGGGCUCUUCUGAAAAGCAUUAGUUGAGGAGCUUUGCACUCUUAUUGGUGUGAUAAACUAUCUAUGCCAAGAGAUGCUUCAUGAUCCUCUGCCGUCUAACUGUCUUUAUAAGACAAUAUGAUAAACUUGACCUCAAAUCAGGUAGGACUACCCGCUGAACUUAA